ensembl:lncRNA
CCCUCCACUUCCUGCCAUAUUGUGAGCCGGUUCAGUCCCGGCCCCCGCGUCAUCACCCCUCGUCACACCUCCUCAACCCGGACGCGCGCGGGACCGGCUGAGCCUGCCGGCGUGCGGAAGACUUCAUUCGCAGGAUAUGUUACUUCGUGUGGCACGUUUACGACGUGCGCGGCGUUGGCGAGACGCGGUGCACGCGAGGAGGCCGCAGGGAGGCUGGCUACUCCUCUGCAGCUCCUGGGGCAGAUAAGGGAGAUAUUGUCGGAGGAGGAGGAGCGUGAAGGAAAGAGGGGAGACGGGCCACAGCUCUGCGCUGCACACAGCUACAAUGGGAGAGGCGUGUUAGAGCGAGAGCAGUACAGCCGAGGGACUCGCUGCAGUGCAGGUGGAUCACAACCAGAGGCCGAGGCUCACAGGCAGCAGCGUGACUCCGACUGGCUUUCCAGCAGGUUUGUGGUGCAAAUUCUUUACAAAGCUAGCCGGUU